CCUACGGGAGGCAGCAGUGGGGAAUAUUGGGCAAUGGGCGCAAGCCUGACCCAGCAACGCCGCGUGAAGGAAGAAGGCUUUCGGGUUGUAAACUUCUUUUCUCAGGGACGAAGAAAGUGACGGUACCUGAGGAAUAAGCCACGGCUAACUACGUGCCAGCAGCCGCGGUAAUACGUAGGUGGCAAGCGUUAUCCGGAUUUAUUGGGUGUAAAAGGCGUGUAGGCGGGAGCGCAAGUCAGAUGUGAAAACUCAGGGCUCAACCCUGAGCCUGCAUUUGAAACUGUGUUUCUUGAGUGCUGGAGAGGCAAUCGGAAUUCCGUGGGUAGCGGUGAAAUGCGGAGAUAUACGGAGGAACACCAGUGGCGAAGGCGGAUUGCUGGACAGUAACUGACGCUGAGGCGCGAAAGCGUGGGGAGCAAACAGGAUUAGAUACCCCUGUAGUC
rnacentral:rRNA from 1 species